CAGCCGCCGCGGUAAUACGAAGGGUGCAAGCGUUAAUCGGAAUUACUGGGCGUAAAGCGCGCGUAGGUGGUUUGGUAAGAUGGAUGUGAAAUCCCCGGGCUCAACCUGGGAACUGCAUCCAUAACUGCCUGACUAGAGUACGGUAGAGGGUGGUGGAAUUUCCUGUGUAGCGGUGAAAUGCGUAGAUAUAGGAAGGAACACCAGUGGCGAAGGCGACCACCUGGACUGAUACUGACACUGAGGUGCGAAAGCGUGGGGAGCAAACAGGAUUAGAUACCCCCGUAGUCCCUGUCUCUUAUAA
rnacentral:rRNA from 1 species